rnacentral:rRNA from 1 species
AGAGUUUGAUCCUGGCUCAGGAUGAACGCUAGCGACAGGCCUAACACAUGCAAGUCGAGGGGCAUCGGGACGUAGCAAUACGUUGCCGGCGACCGGCGGAUGGGUGAGUAACGCGUAUGCAACCUACCCGUAGCAGGGGGAUAGCCCGUUGAAGGACGGAUUAAUACCCCGUAACACAGGGGCUCCGCAUGGAGAUUAUUGUUAAAGGGUCAUUUCUUUUAGAGGUGGUCCGGCUGCGGAUGGGCAUGCGUUCCAUUAGGUAGUUGGUGUAGGUAACGGCUCACCAAGCCGACGAUGGAUAGGGGAACUGAGAGGUUGGUCCCCCACACUGGUACUGAGACACGGACCAGACUCCUACGGGAGGCAGCAGUGAGGAAUUUUGGUCAAUGGACGCAAGUCUGAACCAGCCAUGUCGCGUGAAGGAGGACGGCCCUAAGGGUUGUAAACUUCUUUUGCAGUGGAAUAAAGUUUGCCACGUGUUGGCGAUUUGCAAGUACGCUGCGAAUAAGGAUCGGCUAACUCCGUGCCAGCAGCCGCGGUAAUACGGAGGAUCCAGGCGUUAUCCGGAUUUAUUGGGUUUAAAGGGUGCGCAGGCGGGGAAUUAGGUCGGCGGUGAAAUUUCGGGGCUCAACCUCGACAGUGCCGUUGAAACCGUUUCUCUUGAGUGCGGAUGAGGUAGGCGGAAUUUGUGGUGUAGCGGUGAAAUGCGUAGAUAUCACAAGGAACACCGAUUGCGGAGGCAGCUUACUAAACCGUUACUGACGCUCAUGCACGAAGGCGUGGGGAUCAAACAGGAUUAGAUACCCUGNUAGUCCACGCAGUAAACGAUGAUUACUUGCUGUUUGCGAUACACAGUAAGCGGCGUAGCGAAAGCGUUAAGUAAUCCACCUGGGGAGUACGUUCGCAGAUGAAACUC